rnacentral:rRNA from 1 species
GCGGCACUAGCGCGGUGGUCCCACCUGACCCCAUGCCGAACUCAGAAGUGAAACGCUGUAGCGCCGAUGGUAGUGUGGGGUCUCCCCAUGCGAGAGUAGGGAACUGCCAGGC